GUUUGGUCAUAAAUGAACCGUCACUAGCGCCGCUGGAAACAUUACGUCGCAAAUCCGGGAUUUCAAAGGCUUGUCCAGCUGUUUACUGAGAGGAAGAGAGUUACAGACGAAGAAUAUAAAACAUUUUUGUUAAAGAUCAUGCUUACCAGCACCAACGUGUCCUUCAUGGAAAGGGUGGAAUAGGGGCUUGAAAUCCUAAUGGUCGCAUGGGUCUCACAUUACACCGCCCAUUACACCGCCCUAACUACACAAUGAACCAUUAGACACGUGGAAGACUGAGAAGGAUCCUCGUCCGGGAGUGUUAUUUUAUUCUUAACUCUGUAAAUGGAUUAAAAUGAAACUCUGACUGAGGAGUUUACUUGUUGAAGAGCUUCAGUUCUCAUCACUCAAGACGUCCAUGGGAGGAGAUGAUCUGCAGGAUCCUGGUGAUCUUCAUCCUGACCUCCUGUUUCUGUGCAGGGUCAUUUGUAGUGAAUGUGACACAGAGCUGGUAUCAUGCAGAGGAGAACCACAACAUCUCACUGGAAUGGAUGUUCCCCACCAGCACGGACCACUCCUCCAACUCCCUUUAUAUCUCCUGUGAGAUGAUAAAUCCUGAUGGACCCGCAGUCCUGUUUCAUCUAUAUGAAGGUGUCGAGGUCCCAGAGUUUCAGGAUAAACGCUUUGCAGGACGAGUCCAGUGGGACAAAGACGUCCUCAGAGAAGGACGACUCAGAAUUCACAUCUCCAGACUCCAGACUAAUGACUCGGGGCUGUACUGGUGUGAAGUGGACACAAGUUAUGGGAGGAACUAUAAGGAAUGUCACCUCAAUGUCACUGUUCUCAUCACUCAAGACGUCCAACUUAAGGUCAAGGUCGAGGUCCCAGAGUUUCAGGAUAAACGCUUUGCAGGACGAGUCCAGUGGGACAAAGACGUCCUCAGAGAAGGACGACUCAGACUUCACAUCUCCAGACUCCAGACUAAUGACUCGGGGCUGUACUGGUGUGAAGUGGACACAAGUUAUGGGAGGAACUAUAAGGAAUGUCACCUCAAUGUCACUGCAGUGAAGGAUCGGCCCGAACAUGAGACAACGAGUGAUACGAGUCUGAGAGGAGAUCCUCGAGGAAGGAUCGGUCUCUGUGCACUGGGACCAGCAGCAGCUCUACUUGCUUCCUUUUUUUGCCUGUGCAUUGC
ensembl:lncRNA